UCGGCGAGUACUAGUACGGUAGUAGAAGUAGUAGCAGUGUUUUUAUUGUCAUUACACACAGUACAAUGCCUAAAGUAUACAUACAAAGUAGGAAUGUUUGAAGCAGAUUUGUGCAAUUCUCCUUCUGCUGGCUUUAAUCAUUUCUUUCCUCUGCACUGGUAUUUACUUUUUUUAGUUUCUGCAAGUCAUCUAAAAAACAUGUCACAUUGUGAUAGAACGUGUCCCUUCAAAUCCCCGGAGAUUACUGCGACACGUAUACUGGCUGCAGAAGGAAAUGGAUUUUCCCCCAGAGGACCCCUGGAAUCCAGUUCAUGUGCAGGAAGCUUUCUCUGCAAACUUUGCUCACUCGGUGCCUUGACUGAACAACAUAAGGACACAUCUUGAUGAGCAGAUGUUUUCAGGGUCCACUGUUUCAUCCUUGUCAUGGGGGACUGACUGGGGUCCGAUACAGCCACAUGUGUCUGUACGGUGGGAAGCGAAGGCCGUACGUGCUGCUAGCUGAUUGGACGCAGCUGUGGAAGCAGGUGAUUGGACCAGAUGGUCUCCAGAAGAAGAUUAACAUCCAGAGGACGACCACGUCGCACAUGACACAUCCAGAGGACACCAACAGUUUUCAUCACAUUCAGGUGAAACGCAGGUUCUACUUCAUUUACAACCUGCUGGCUGAUCUUGAAAUAUAGAAAUCACUAUGAAAACUAUUUCCUUGUUUGAUGAUAUUUCUGAACGUCCACACUUCCACGUGUUUGAGUGAAGAAAGAAAUCUCUCAAGUUCAAAAACGUGGGAAGUGAAACCCAAACUACCCGCAUGUCUGAACGCAGCAACGAUGACAAAUUAGCAAGUGUUUAAAAUACCUCAAUUUAACUUCUUUGCAGAAACAAAAGAUGCUAUUGUUAAGACUAAAUGUGACGACCAGCUAAGUGUUGGUCACACUUCUUCUUAUUUAAAGAAAUGAUGGUGGGAAACGACCAAUAAAACCUCCCUGGUGGGAAUAGAAAUGAAACGCACACGCGUGUGCAGUGUAUCUCACUCCUGCACACCCCGUGUUUAUGUGCACGUUGCCACAUACCGUGUGGGGUUACGCCUUUGGCCCACGCUUCACAUUCCGCUCCGCAUCUCAUUCGAAACACGCUCACAGGAGCGGAGGCUCCCCGUUAUCUCCUCCUGUCACGUCCGCGGCCCAUCAUCUCUCUCCCGCCGCAUUACAUAACUCACAUAACCCUCUUAAGGAAGGCCACGCCUCUCGGGGCAGAGCGAGCUGUGCCCGCUGGAUGCCGCAGCAGUCACUCAGUUUAAUUUCCAAUAAUGGUUAAAAUCCCAACAUUCCACCGGUGGUGGGGGGGCCUCAGUAGAGAGGUUGGGGGGACUCCGUUUUAUCUGCGAUCAUCUGCUGCCCUGAGCUUCUCAAGGUCUUACCUCACUUCAAAGGUGGUCUGUUUGUAUUGAAAAGGGAGAAGCUUGUCUCCAAUCACACAAAUCGAAUCUGAAUACAAUAAAUGUCCUUUGUUUCCCUUU